rnacentral:rRNA from 1 species
GCGACGAUCCGUAACUGGUCUGAGAGGAUGAUCAGUCACACUGGAACUGAGACACGGUCCAGACUCCUACGGGAGGCAGCAGUGGGGAAUAUUGGACAAUGGGCGAAAGCCUGAUCCAGCCAUGCCGCGUGUGUGAAGAAGGUCUUCGGAUUGUAAAGCACUUUAAGUUGGGAGGAAGGGCAGUAAGUUAAUACCUUGCUGUUUUGACGUUACCGACAGAAUAAGCACCGGCUAACUCUGUGCCAGCAGCCGCGGUAAUACAGAGGGUGCAAGCGUUAAUCGGAAUUACUGGGCGUAAAGCGCGCGUAGGUGGUUCUGUUAAGUUGGAUGUGAAAUCCCCGGGCUCAACCUGGGAACUGCAUCCAAAACUGGCGAGCUAGAGUAUGGUAGAGGGUGGUGGAAUUUCCUGUGUAGCGGUGAAAUGCGUAGAUAUAGGAAGGAACACCAGUGGCGAAGGCGACCACCUGGACUGAUACUGACACUGAGUGUGCGAAAGCGUGGGGAGCAAACAGGUAUUAGAUACCCUGGUAGUCCACGCCGUAAACGAUGUCAACUAGCCGUUGGGGUCCUUGAGACUUUAGUGGCGCAGCUAACGCAUUAAGUUGACCGCCUGGGGAGUACGGCCGCAAGGUUAAAACUCAAAUGAAUUGACGGGGGCCCGCACAAGCGGUGGAGCAUGUGGUUUAAUUCGAAGCAACGCGAAGAACCUUACCAGGCCUUGACAUCCAAUGAACUUUCCAGAGAUGGAUUGGUGCCUUCGGGAACAUUGAGACAGGGUGCGGGCAUGGGCUGUCGUCAGCUCGUGUCGUGAGAUGUUGGGUUAAGUCCCGUAACGAGCGCAACCCUUGUCCUUAGUUACCAGCACGUGAUGGUGGGCACUCUAAAGAGACUGCCGGUGACAAACCGGAGGAAGGUGGGGAUGACGUCAAGUCAUCAUGGCCCUUACGGCCUGGGCUACACACGUGCUACAAUGGUCGGUACAGAGGGUUGCCAAGCCGCGAGGUGGAGCUAAUCUCACAAAACCGAUCGUAGUCCGGAUCGCAGUCUGCAACUCGACUGCGUG